UCCAAUCAGGCGUGAGUCACUUCAGACUACCUUGUUAGCAAAGGGAAAUUGGGCCAUCAGUCAAGGACAACCUGUACAAAACAACCUUAACGCCCUCCACACUAUCCACCUAGGUCAGGGGUCCCCAAACUUGGCAACUUUAAGACUUGGGGACUUGAAACUCCCUUUCAAUUCAUUCUGAAAGGUUAAGCCAGCAUCA